rnacentral:ncRNA from 2 species
GCGUGGGUCGGCCCGCUGACACCGCGUUCAGUGGGCUGGGGGACACCGUCGCCUUCAUCCCCGCGGGCGACGGCUCGGUCCGGGAGGCUCUCGGCGCCUCCCGGACCGCA